AUACCUUUCUCGGCCUUUUGGCUAAGAUCAAGUGUAGUAUCUGUUCUUAUCAGUUUAAUAUCUGAUACGGGGAUCAUUGAUCCACAUGAUAUUAAAUUAAUUUUUUUCGGGGGAGGGUCCACCACAGUAGCUUGCUACUGGGGCUCUCAAGCGUCGCCCAUGCGUUGCACUGCUGCACGGGCCUGGCGCACCCCAC
rnacentral:snRNA from 1 species